AGCGAACGCUGGCGGCAGGCUUAACACAUGCAAGUCGAGCGGGCACUCUCGGGUGUCAGCGGCGGACGGGUGAGUAACGCGUGGGAACGUGCCCUCUGGUUCGGAAUAACUCAGGGAAACUUGAGCUAAUACCGGAUACGCCCUUUUGGGGAGAGGCUUGCUGCCGGAGGAUCGGCCCGCGUCUGAUUAGCUAGUUGGUGAGGUAACGGCUCACCAAGGCGACGAUCAGUAGCUGGUCUGAGAGGAUGGUCAGCCACACUGGGACUGAGACACGGCCCCGACUCCUACGGGAGGCAGCGGUGGGGAAUAUCGGGCAAUGGGCGCAAGCCUGAUCCAGCCAUGCCGCGUGAGUGAUGAAGGCCUUAGGGUUGUAAAGCUCUUUUAUCCGGGACGAUAAUGACGGUACCGGAGGAAUAAGCCCCGGCUAACUUCGUG
rnacentral:rRNA from 1 species